GUUGCAGUUGUAAAUGAGAACUUGUUCUCAACUGGCCUACCUGGUUAAAUAAAGGUGUAAUAAAUAAAACAUUGAACUUGGAGUCUGUAGUUGUACACAGUGAAGCAUUGAGGAUGAGUAAUUGUGUUCUUGGAGUGAUGUCAUAAUGGAUCAUGCGGUCAUAAGAAGAUAGAAUCCUCUUGCCAUUAGGCUACAAUCUUAGGUGGGAGAACAUUCUGAGAGAAGAUUAGUUGGAGAAGGUCAUCAUAUUGUGCCCUAGGCCUUUGAGUGGAGAAAAAUACUCAACAGCAGAGCGGAGAAAAUUAUUCCUCAGUACCCGCCCACACAUCUUCCCUCAUCCAUGACAGGUUGCAAUGGUUCUUACUGGUAUUCCUUGAAGAGGUGGGGUUUCAGGUGUCUCCGGAAGGUGGUGAUUGACUCCGCUGUCCUGGCGUCGUGAGGGAGCUUGUUCCACCAUUGGGGUGCCAGAGCAGCGAACAGUUUUGACUGGGCUGAGCGGGAACUGUGCUUCCUCAGAGGUAGGGAGGCGAGCAGGCCAGAGGUGGAUGAACGGAGUGCCCUUGUUUGGGUGUAGGGC
rnacentral:lncRNA from 1 species